AUGACACCCAAGCUUGCACCACAGCCCAGGUCCUGCUGAAUGGAGUAGAACUUGAUGCCUGUGCUGCGGUCCCAGAUGCUGAUGAGGUCAUCCAGGCCACUGCUGAUGACACAGGAGGUGGUACAGGCCGCUUACCUGGUCAAUGUACACGGUCGUGAUGGCCCCUGAGUGGCCCUGAAGGGUGAAGAGGCAGCACGAGUCCUCCAGACGGAACACUCUCAGUGUGUGGUCUUGGCUCCCAGUCACCAAGCGCCCAGCAGCGGCUUUCAGGGCUGUGAUGGGUUUUUGGUGUGCACAGGGCACUGUGUGGGUCAGGUGACAGGCCACUGUGUCGCUGCUGCUGUACACUGGAGAGGCAGGGGAACUGCCCCGCCCUGGGGUCCCUGAGGACAAAAGGCCAAGUGAAGAAUCUCUGAGAAAGCAAUGGGUAGACGGCCCCUGCCCGUCCCACCAAGUGUGAACACCUGCCCACCCCAGGCCCUCCGACCUCUAAACUGCAGGGGGCUGAGGGCAGUGUGGGUCUCCAAGGAGAAGAAAUCAAGGGAACCGUUGAGCCGUGCAGCCACAAUCCUGGAAGAGAAGAACAGCUGCCAGGGGCCUCUCCCUUAGAGCCCCAGCCCUGGGGCUGAGCAUGUGGACAUGAGAGUUAAGGGCCAGUUCAAGAAGGCACAGGAGGGACAUGGCCAAGAGGAAAGCACAUGGUGCCAGAACAGAUGCUGGAGCCAGAGGGCAACUCCAAAUAUUAACCACCUUGUGCCUCAGUUUCUUCAUCCGUAAAAUGGGGAUAAGAGUACCCACCUCACAGGGUGGUCAUGAGAAUCAAGUGAGCUAACGUGUAAGGUGGUACCUGGUGAAUAUCACGUAAGUUUGUAAAUUAAAAACAAGCAGAGGGCUCCAUGUAGCCUGGAGCUGAAGGGAGGGCUGCUGAGGGGAAACAGGAUGCAGGGUGGGCUAUGUUGGGUGUUGCGGAAGCCUGCAUUCUCCACAUAAAAGCAGCUUCAACCC
rnacentral:lncRNA from 1 species